AAUGCACCAAUUUGUAAGUCGCUCUGGAUAAGAGCGUCUGCUAAAUGACUGUAA
rfam:Salmo salar isolate Sally breed double haploid chromosome ssa16, whole genome shotgun sequence.